rnacentral:rRNA from 1 species
GUGAGGAAUAUUGCGCAAUGGAGGCAACUCUGACGCAGCCAUGCCGCGUGCAGGAAGAAGGCGCUACGCGUUGUAAACUGCUUUUAACCAGGAAGAAACCCCAGGACGUGUCCUGGGUUGACGGUACCGGAGGAAUAAGCACCGGCUAACUUCGUGCCAGCAGCCGCGGUAAUACGAAGGGUGCAAGCGUUAUCCGGAUUCAUUGGGUUUAAAGGGUGCGUAGGCGGAGCGUUAAGUCAGUGGUGAAAUCCUGCAGCUUAACUGUAGACUUGCCAUUGAUACUGGCGCUCUUGAGUGCGCUUGAAGUGGGCGGAAUGUGCCGUGUAGCGGUGAAAUGCUUAGAUAUGGCACAGAACACCAAUUGCGAAGGCAGCUCACUAAGGCGAUACUGACGCUGAGGCACGAAAGCGUGGGGAUCGAACAGGAUUAGAUACCCGUGUAGUCC